CCUACGGGGGGCUGCAGUGGGGAAUAUUGCACAAUGGGCGCAAGCCUGAUGCAGCCAUGCCGCGUGUGUGAAGAAGGCCUUCGGGUUGUAAAGCACUUUCAGCGGGGAGGAAGGCGGUGAGGUUAAUAACCUCAUCGAUUGACGUUACCCGCAGAAGAAGCACCGGCUAACUCCGUGCCAGCAGCCGCGGUAAUACGGAGGGUGCAAGCGUUAAUCGGAAUUACUGGGCGUAAAGCGCACGCAGGCGGUCUGUCAAGUCGGAUGUGAAAUCCCCGGGCUCAACCUGGGAACUGCAUUCGAAACUGGCAGGCUAGAGUCUUGUAGAGGGGGGUAGAAUUCCAGGUGUAGCGGUGAAAUGCGUAGAGAUAUGGAGGAAUACCGGUGGCGAAGGCGGCCCCCUGGACAAAGACUGACGCUCAGGUGCGAAAGCGUGGGGAGCAAACAGGAUUAGAUACCCGAGUAGUC
rnacentral:rRNA from 1 species